GGGGGCGGAUGGCGGCUGGUGUCGUCGGCGGUCUUCAAAACCGUUUCGGGGUGUGAGAAACGUCCCGGGUGGGUUCGAUUCCCACACGCUCCCG
rnacentral:tRNA from 1 species